UCCCACCUCAGCCUCCCGAGUAGCUGGGACUACGCGCACACCACCAUGCCUGGCUAGUUUUUAUAUUAUUUGUAGAGACAGGGUUUCGCCAUGUUGGCUAGGCUGGUCUUAAACUUCUGAGCUCAAGUGAUCCACCUGCCUUGGCCUCUCAGAGUGCUGGGAUUAUGGGGUGUGAACCACCACACCCAGCCUAUGUUACAUAAUUUCGGUUUUUAGUGUCCAUAAUUACGGUCUGAAAUAGGUCAAGGGGACCCCAUGAUGGUCCUGGGAGAUGAGCAUUGAGACUACAAUGAUAGAAUGGAUCAGACCAUGCUUGAAGGACCUCAGAAGGUCUAGUCAAACUGUCAACUAACCCUCAUAGUUUGCAGAGCUGCUGGGAGACAAAAUCAUGUCCAGAACUCUGGAGCCACAGGAUUCCUUUGGGUCCCCAGAACUUCUUUGGAAAAGAUUAUAAUGGCUUUAACAUCAUUAACGUUUAUUGGGUUUUUACAAUGUAACAGGCAUGGUUCUAUGCACUUUACACAACUAAUUCAUUGAAUUCUCUCAACAACCUAAUGAGGUCAGAACUAUUAUCCUCAUUUUUGAUGUGAGAAAACUGAAGUACAGAGAGGUUAUGUGGCUUCCAAAGUCACAUAGUUUAAAAGUGGCAGAGACUGGAUUCAAAUGUAAACAAUAACCACUGCCGGGGUACCAUGGGAAGUUGUGGUCCAGACACUAAAUCAAGCUGCACCCAAGGUGUCCUAAUCCUACUCCUUCUUUCUCCACUGGAUGAGAGAAAAGGAGCAGGACCUAAGCCUCCUGAUUUUGUGGGAAUUUGCUUUUCUGUUCCAUGUUUCUCCCUCCGCUGCCCUUCUAUGCAUUGAAAUGAUGGGCAGGGGAACAUUUUCCGCCUCUGGAGGCAGGCGAGCAAAGACUCGAUGCACUUCCCCACCUCUUGCACUGGCUCAUACUUUAAUGGCUGGAAGUUUAAAAUCACAUCCCAAGCUUCUUGGAACUCAAAAUUCAGUUAUCUGACUCAGUAAAAUGUAGCUUUCUCACUUAAAAGGAUUUGCCCAAGGGGCCUCUGGGAUUUCAAAUAUACUUAAAAGCAACAACUGUGUUGAAUCAUAGAAUCAUAAGGGAUUGCAUUUCCGCUGGAGAACAGACAGGAUGUUUUAAACAGAGGGGGAAAUGUUUGAAGUUCGCCAAGCUUUGAGUUUCAUCCCACCCACCACAUCUGAAAACUAUCUGAGUCAUUUGAUGAAGGCAAAAUACAGCUGGGCUCCCUUAUUCUUAGUGUUAUUGUGGCCUACCAUCUUGACAUUGUGAUGCUAUCUGUGCAAGAACAUUUCACCUACAUCUACCAACCCUUUUCUAAACUGGAAUCAGGAAGAGUCUGUUCUCCAAAGUCUAUCUGGAGUGGAGUGGGCUGAGGGUGGUGUGGAGUAAAUAUUCUUAUAGACAGAAGGCAAAUACAGCUCUAGACAAAACAGUGAAGAGAAACAGGUUUGUCCAUGGCCCUGAGCUGCUGUCAAGGAGGUUACAGGGCCUUUAUCUCUUUCAUGGUGCUGCAGUAUUGUGUAGUGUGUUUAUGAACGUAGAUUUGGGAGUCAAAAAGAUACACGUUUAAUCUUGACCCUACCCACUUAUUUACUCACUGUGAAUCCUUGGGCAGAUUACUUAACCUUUCUAAUUUGAUGUUACUUUCCUUAUGUAAAAUGGGGAGAGUUAUUGUGAGGAUCCAAUGAGAAAGUAUUUGUAAGGUGAUGGCAACAGUACUGGACCGAUAAUAA
rnacentral:lncRNA from 1 species